AUACGGAGGGUGCAAGCGUUACUCGGAAUCACUGGGCGUAAAGCGCGCGCAGGCGGUCUUUUAAGUUGGAUGUGAAAGCCUACGGCUCAACCGUAGAACUGCAUCCAAAACUGUCAGUCUAGAGUCUGGGAGGGGAAGAUGGAAUUAGUUGUGUAGGGGUAAAAUCCGUAGAGAUAACUAGGAAUACCAAAAGCGAAGGCGAUCUUCUGGAACAGUACUGACGCUGAGGCGCGAAAGCGUGGGGAGCAAACAGGAUUAGAUACCCUAGUAGUCC
rnacentral:rRNA from 1 species